GACGAACGCUGGCGGCGUGCCUAAUACAUGCAAGUAGAACGCUGAAGAGAGGAGCUUGCUCUUCUUGGAUGAGUUGCGAACGGGUGAGUAACGCGUAGGUAACCUGCCUGGUAGCGGGGGAUAACUAUUGGAAACGAUAGCUAAUACCGCAUAAUAGCAGUUAUUGCAUGAUAACUGUUUGAAAGGUGCAAAUGCAUCACUACCAGAUGGACCUGCGUUGUAUUAGCUAGUUGGUGAGGUAACGGCUCACCAAGGCAACGAUACAUAGCCGACCUGAGAGGGUGAUCGGCCACACUGGGACUGAGACACGGCCCAGACUCCUACGGGAGGCAGCAGUAGGGAAUCUUCGGCAAUGGACGGAAGUCUGACCCGAGCAAACGCCCGCGUGAGUGAAAGAAAGGUUUUUCGGAUUCGUAAAAGGC
rnacentral:rRNA from 1 species